ACCGGCGGCUCGAGUGGUGGCCACUAUUACUGGGCUUAAAGCGUUCGUAGCUGGCUUGUUAAGUCUCUGGGGAAAUCUUCCGGCUCAACCGGAAGGCGUCUCAGGGAUACUGGCAGGCUAGGGACCGGAAGAGGUGAGAGGUACUCCAGGGGUAGGAGUGAAAUCCUGUAAUCCUUGGGGGACCACCUGUGGCGAAGGCGUCUCACCAGGACUGCUCCGACAGUGCUGAUUGGAUGAUUGGGUGGUUAUUUG
rnacentral:rRNA from 1 species